rnacentral:rRNA from 1 species
UGCGGCAGCUUAUCAUGCAAGUCGAGGGGCAGCAUGAAGUAGCAAUACUUUGAUGGCAGCCGGCAAACGGGUGCGGAACACGUACACAACCUUCCUUUUAGUGGGGAAUAGCCCAGAGAAAUUUGGAUUAAUACCCCGUAACAUAACUGAGUGGCAUCACUUGGUUAUUAUAGCUUCGGUGCUAAAUGAUGGGUGUGCGUAUGAUUAGAUAGUUGGCGAGGUAACGGCUCACCAAGUCUACGAUCAUUAGCUGAUGUGAGAGCAUGAUCAGCCACACGGGCACUGAGACGCGGGCCCGACUCCUACGGGAGGCAGCAGUAAGGAAUAUUGGUCAAUGGACGCAAGUCUGAACCAGCUAUGCCGCGUGAAGGAUUAAGGUCCUCUGGAUUGUAAACUUCUUUUAUCUGGGACGAAAAAAGGUCUUUCUAGACCCCUUGACGGUACCAGAUGAAUAAGCACCGGCUAACUCCGUGCCAGCAGCCGCGGUAAU